rnacentral:lncRNA from 1 species
ACGGAGUGGAAAAAAGGUGGGGUGAAGCUUAAUGAUUGAAUUAAAGCUUGAUUUUAAGUGAAAGCGAAGAAGACGUUAUAGGAAAACACAGUCGGGGACGAUGGAAGGUGACGGCGUUGAUCAGCUGAAGAUGGCACACCUAACUCUAAACACAAAUGGGCCGCAUAUAUCAAAGUAUAGGUCAAUAAAUAAAUAGAAAAGCCCAAUAAAUAAUCAGAAAAUCCCCCUAAUCCGCAAGAGCUAGAAACACCAACAAAAAAAGAAGAAGAAAAUCCACGAGUUGGAAGAAAAGGAAAAAAAAAACUUUUCUUUUUGCUCGACACGUGUUGCAAAAUGGAGAUAGGAAAAAUGAUGUGGAGUUUCUUUUCAGUUUUAUUAUUAUAGAUAAGAAACAUAUAUUUUAGAGGAAAAAAAGUUAAACAAAUAAGAAGUCCAGAAGCCUACGUUACCAUUAAUAUAACUUCUUAGAAAACUUUUAUCAACUAAUAGGCAUUCAU